GUGUUUGUAUGAGUGUGUGUGUAUAUAAUGCAGAGUGUGUUUGUGUUUGUGUAGUGCACACACUCUGCAUUAUAUACACACACACUCAUAC